GUCCCUGUGGCCAAGUGGUUAAGGCAUAGUGCUUAUGUCACUGAGAUCGGCGGUUCGACCCCGCCCAGGGACA